UAAAAGCCUCCGGUGCUUGCCAGAAGAAGGGCUGCCUACCUCUCUUACUGAUUUAUCAAUCAGUGGAUGUCCUUUGCUAAAUCAACGAUGUGAAAACGGAGGAGAAGAUUGGCCUAAGAUUCAACACAUCACAAAAGUGGAAUUGGAUGAUAAACUUGUCAAUUAAAUCAUGCAGUGAUCUAUAUGUAUUCAGCUAGUGCUUUUUACAUCUCUAGAGCUAUAGCUACUGAAGCCAAACAAGUUCAUAUUGCCACAAGGAGCCCUGAUGUGAAAGUGGAAAAGCUGGAAAACAACAGCAAUAUAUGGCAGCAUAUGAUGAUAGAUCAUGUUUGCAAAGAUGGUAGAGUUGCUUUUCAAGAUGGAUCCUCAGUUUGUGCUGAUGCCAUUUUCUUUGAUAGUGAUUGUGGACAAGAUCAAGUUCAAAUAUCAUCAUCCAUUUCUUGAAACAAAUGGAGUUGCAACUGUUGACGAAAACUGCGCUUGUUGAACCCUUAUAUCGUCACGUCUUUCCUCCAAGCUUGGCUCCAGGGCUCUCCUUUAUUGGUAUACCUAUAAAGGGUCUGCUCUUCAACAUAAUAGAGUUACAUUAAUCCAAGUGGAUUGCUGCCAAACAAAGAGGAAAUGAUGGGUUCCACUAAUGAGUUUUAUAAGCAAAUGCAGCACCAUAUCAGAAAAUUAAACGGCAACAAGGAACCUGGAUUUGAAAGUGAAAAACUUGGAAAACCACUGCAAUAUAUGGCUGCUUAUGAUGGAAUUUCCCGUGCAUGGACAAGAAGCAAAGCUGUGGCAAAAAUGAACACACCAUGUUUUUUUUUAAAGAGUGUUGAACUAAAAUCAGUGCUCCAAUGACACAAUUCCACGAAAUGAUUAGGAGAUUAAUCAAAAUGGCAAAACUAAUGAGAUGGUCAAGUAAUGAAAAAUUCCUUUGAUCAUGCACGUGUAUGAAAUCCAUAACUACAAAAGUGCCACUUUCCCAGAUUGGUUUGGAUCCAAUUUGUUAUCUAAUAUGAUAACAGUGAGCCUAUAUAGAUGUAAGCAUUGUUUAGUCUUGCCGCCUUUGGGGCAGCUACCCUCCCUCAAACACCUUUUGAUUUCAGGGUUUUCAAGCGUGUUGAGAAUAGGUUUGGAGUUCUAUUCUAAUAAUUAUGGUACAGGGCAAUUUAGAUGUUUGGAGAGUUUGCAUUUGGAAAUGAUGCCGGUGCUCAGAGAGUGGUUGUUUAUUGAAGGCGAAGAAGGUGGAGUUUUUCCUCUUCU